rnacentral:rRNA from 1 species
GAGCUCAGGCAAGGCUACCCGCUGAACUUAAGCAUAUCAAUAAGCGGAGGAAAAGAAACUAACAAGGAUGCGCUUAGUAACGGCGAGCGAACCGCGCAAAGCCCAACUUGAAAAUCUCCCUUGGAGAAUUGUAGUCUAUAGAAGUACCCUCUGUAACGGGCGCAGCUCAGUCUCCUGGAAAGGGGCGUCAGAGAGGGUGAGAACCCCGUAGCUGUGCUUUGUACCUCACGAGUGCUUUCAAGAGUCGGUUGCUUGGGAUGCAGCCCAAUUGGUGGUAAUCCCAUCUAAGGCUAAAUAUUGGCGAAGACGUUCA